GCAUCAAGUGACAUCCGUAGCA
rnacentral:siRNA from 1 species